GUGAAAGAAACCAUACACAAAAGGGUACAUUUAUUUAAAGUUAGAAAUCAGGGCCUGGCGCGGUGGCUCACGCCUGUAAUACCAGCACUUUGGGAGGCCGAGGUGGGCAGAUCAUGAGGUCAAGAGAUCGAGACCAUCCUGGCCAACAUGGAGAAACCCUGUCUCUACUAAAAAUACAAAAAUUUGCUGGGCGUGGUGGCACAUGCCUUACCCUUCUGGAAAUAGUCUUUGUUAUUAUUUGGGUCAGUUGAGUUUUUUUGUUGUAAGCAACAGAAACUAACUUAAAUGAAAAAGAGAUUUCCUUUCAAGCCAUAUAGGAGUAGCUUACAGAAUCAAAGGCAUUGCUGAAUGACCAAGAGGAACAGGAAUUGGGAAGGUGACAGAAAUCUUAGAAACAAAAGUUCUUUAACCAACUCUCUAGGAUUCUGCCUGCUUGUGAUUAGCUUUAAAUACCUUUUGUUGGCCGGGCGUGGUGGCUCAUGCCUGUAAUCCCAGCACUUUGGGAGGCCAAGGAGAGUGGGUCACUCGAGGUCAGGAGCCAGGCCAACAUGGCAAAAACCUGUCUCUUCUAAAAAUACAAAAAUUAGUCGGGCAUGGUGGCGUGCGCCUGUACUCCUAGCUACUCGGGAGGCCAAGGUAUGAGAAUUGUUUGAACCUGGGAGGCGGAGGUUGCAGUGAGCCAAGAUCGUGCCACUGCACUCCAGCCUGGGUGACAGAGCAAGACCUUGUCUCAAAAAAAUAAAAAAAUAAAAUAAUAAAAAUACCUUCUCUCCCCAUGUGCCUCCACUCAAGA
rnacentral:lncRNA from 1 species